GAGGAGCUGACAAGCACAAGUGUGGAACACAUCAUUGUCAAUCCUAAUGCUGCCUAUGACAAGUUCAAAGACAAGAGAGUGGGGACAAAGGGACUUGAUUUCUCAGAUCGUAUUGGAAAAACCAAGAGGACAGGAUAUGAAUCUGGAGAAUAUGAGAUGCUUGGAGAGGGUCUGGGAGUGAAGGAGACACCCCAGCAAAAGUACCAGCGCCUGCUGCAUGAGGUCCAAGAGCUAACCACUGAAGUUGAAAAAAUCAAGCUGGCAGCCCUGAAGCAGCAGCUGGUUGCUUCCCACCUGGAGAAGCU
rnacentral:sRNA from 1 species